rnacentral:rRNA from 1 species
CCUACGGGGUGCAGCAGUGAGGAAUAUUGGUCAAUGGGCGCUAGCCUGAACCAGCCAAGUAGCGUGAAGGAUGACUGCCCUAUGGGUUGUAAACUUCUUUUAUAUGGGAAUAAAGUGCAGUAUGUAUACUGCUUUGCAUGUACCUUAUGAAUAAGGAUCGGCUAACUCCGUUCCAGCAGCCGCGGUAAUACGGAGGAUUCGAGCGUUAUCCGGAUUUAUUGGGGUUAAAGGGAGCGUAGGCGGGUUGUUAAGUCAGUUGUGAAAGUUUGGGGCUCAACCGUAAAAUUGCAGUUGAUACUGGCAGCCUUGAGUACAGUAGAGGUAGGCGGAAUUCGUGGUGUAGCGGUGAAAUGCUUAGAUAUCACGAAGAACUCCGAUUGCGAAGGCAGCCUGCUGGACUGUAACUGACGCUGAUGCUCGAAAGUGUGGGUAUCAAACAGGAUUAGAUACCCGAGUAGUC